UAGCAGAGAAUCACCAACUUUUCCUUUGGUUGUUAAUGUUUCACCAUCACAGUUUAUAAAGUGGACUGUCACUUUAUCUUCUGAGCUGCUCCGCGCCCCUGCCGACACGCUCAGCGGCCGGCUCGCCUCCGCGCUCCGGCCCGGUCCCCGGCUCCUCAGCAGGCCGCUGGCUCCAGCGCGGGACCCGGCGUGGUGCAGCCACCGGCCGGCCGGGUCGCCGAGGACCGCAGAAGCGGCGCGCAGCAGCCGGGCGCCCCCAGCGGCAGCCAUCGCCCGCGGUCGGGAACUCAAAAGGAAUUAUUUAAAGAUAGUUUUAACCUUGUGACAUUUCUCAUUUGCGUUGCUGUAUACCUAGCCUAUACUAUUUGUAGAAUACUUGGCAUAAACGUACAUAUGUCAUAAGCAUUGAAGUUUUUUGUUACAUCUGGGAUUUUCUGGCUUGAGUGGGAUGUGAAUUCAUAAAUGUGAUGGUUUUGUGGGGGAACUGAGAGAACUUGGCAUAAACAGGUAUACUUACUGAUCCUCUCUGGAUAUUUAAGUGUGGUAAUUCAUUCUUAUCACUCAAUAAAGUAUAGGCAUUAUA
rnacentral:lncRNA from 1 species